rnacentral:snRNA from 2 species
AUUGCAUCUUAGCCUUUUGGCUGAGACUAAGUGUGGUAUCUGUUCUUAUCAGUGCAGUGAAGUUUGAAAAAAUAAAUGAAUGAAUGAAUCUUGGCAGAAACAGGAACUUUUCAAAAAAAAAGUAUUCUUUACAUAUCUUUAUCCUCCUGGCAACCUCUU